UACGUAGGGUCCGAGCGUUGUCCGGAAUUAUUGGGCGUAAAGGGCUCGUAGGCGGUUUGUCGCGUCGGGAGUGAAAACCUACAGCUUAACUGUGGGCUUGCUUUCGAUACGGGCAGACUUGAGGCAUGCAGGGGAGAACGGAAUUCCUGGUGUAGCGGUGAAAUGCGCAGAUAUCGGGAAGAACACCCGUGGCGAAGGCGGUUCUCUGGGACGGUACUGACGCUGAGACGCGAAAGCGUGGGGAGCGAACAGG
rnacentral:rRNA from 1 species